GUGGGGAAUCUUAGACAAUGGGGGAAACCCUGAUCUAGCCAUGCCGCGUGAGCGAUGAAGGCCUUAGGGUUGUAAAGCUCUUUCAGCUGGGAAGAUAAUGACGGUACCAGCAGAAGAAGCCCCGGCUAACUCCGUGCCAGCAGCCGCGGUAAUACGGAGGGGGCUAGCGUUGUUCGGAAUUACUGGGCGUAAAGCGCGCGUAGGCGGACCAGAAAGUUGGAGGUGAAAUCCCAGGGCUCAACCUUGGAACUGCCUUCAAAACUCCUGGUCUGGAGUUCGAGAGAGGUGAGUGGAAUUCCGAGUGUAGAGGUGAAAUUCGUAGAUAUUCGGAGGAACACCAGUGGCGAAGGCGGCUCACUGGCUCGAUACUGACGCUGAGGUGCGAAAGCGUGGGGAGCAAACAGGAUUAGAAACCCGUGUAGUCC
rnacentral:rRNA from 1 species